CCCUUAGAUGUUCUGGGCCGCACGCGCGCUACACUGAUGCAUUCAACGAGUCUAAAACCUGCUCUGAUAGGGGUGGGUAAUCUUUUGAAUGUGCAUCGUGAUUGGGAUAGAUGAUUGCAAUUUUUCAUCUUCAACGAGGAAUGCCUAGUAAACGCAAGUCAUCAGCUUGCAUUGAUUACGUCCCUGCCCUUUGUACACACCGCCCGUCGCUCCUACCGAUUGAAUGAUCCGAUGAAUAUCAUGGAUUGAGGAUUAUAGCAGGUUCGCCUGUCUUGAUCUUCGAGAAGUGAAGUAAAUCUUAUCACUUAGAGGAAGGAGAAGUCGUAACA
rnacentral:rRNA from 1 species